rnacentral:rRNA from 1 species
UACGUAGGGUCCGAGCGUUGUCCGGAAUUAUUGGGCGUAAAGAGCUCGUAGGCGGCUUGUCACGUCGGGUGUGAAAGCCCGGGGCUUAACCCCGGGUCUGCAUUCGAUACGGGCAGGCUAGAGUGUGGUAGGGGAGAUCGGAAUUCCUGGUGUAGCGGUGAAAUGCGCAGAUAUCAGGAGGAGCACCGGUGGCGAAGGCGGAUCUCUGGGCCAUUACUGACGCUGAGGAGCGAAAGCGUGGGGAGCGAACAGG